CCACCCAUGGAGGGUAGAACACACAUUUGCUGAAGACUUUAUGUGCUGGGCUGACUCAACUGGGCUGGAUUCCAGGCCCAUCACUGACUAUGCUUCUGUCAUUUCAACGGAGAGAAGAGGAAAUGAGGAUAAGUUCCAGAGGGAUGCAAGGGUGAAGUGCACUCACAAAGCAAGGUCAGUCAGACUUCCAAUGUCUAAUUCUCAAGGUUCUGGCGAGUGGGCUCUCGGGACUGGGCUCCAACAUCAUCUUCUCCGAGAGGCCUGCCUAGAUCCUCCCCUCCCUCAAACCAGAUGUGGUCUCUCAUUCUCUUCUGUUCACCAAAACAAGGUCUUGCCCACAGCAGGUAGAUGUAGAUCACAUUCACUGGCUCACUCCUAAGGAACAUGGUAGCCUGCCCCAGCUUGCAGCCUUCCAGUAUGUCUAAGCCUCACCAGAACUUUAAAUGACAUCAGCCAUGUACAUGAAUAAAUACA
rnacentral:lncRNA from 1 species